rnacentral:lncRNA from 1 species
GCAGCAGACAUUUUGUUUUCAAGGAUGUGCAUCUGCUAAUUUUUCCAUCAUUUCCUCUUUUCUGUUUCCAGUUAGACUUUUGGUUACAUCAACAUGAAAAUUAUUACACAUUUUCAUUUUCAUUUUGAAAUAAAUGCCAAAUUAGGGUUUUGACCCUGAAUUUGCAGUUUAUAAUCAAACAUUACAAAAGCCAUAGUGCAAGUCCAUAGGCACAUAUUUCUGUUUUCUUUGUCAUUUUAAUCUUAAAUGUAUUGUAAAACCUAUUCAAUCAGCCCUCUUCUUGCAAAAAUUGGGUUGCUAUAUAUAUUGUUGGUAGUCAGGUUGGGUAAUUGUUUUAUGCCUUUCAUUUGCUUGUAUCCCUCUUGAUGAUUUUUUAGUUACAAAGGGUAAAUAGUUCUACAACUUGGCAUUUAUCAUACUUACACUAAACUGGUCCAAUCUUAACCAAGUUAUCAUAAGGGUUUCAUAGGCGGAUCCUGGGGGGACCGUGCCCCCCUUUCGUGGCAAAAAAAUUGGUUGCUUAUAUAGGGAAUCACUGAAGCAUGACUGGAGCGGGCCCCCCUUAGGUCAGUCAGCAGGCCCCCCCUUAAGAAAAGUUCUGGAUCCGCCACUGGCUUUGUAUUUCAUCAUUUUAUUUUAUAUAAAAGUAUGUGAACCAAUAAUCUGUAUCUAUACUGAUUUGUUAUAAAUCUGGGGUAAAAUAUGAUGUUGAUACAUUGUCUUUUCAUAUUAACCAAAUGUUGAUGAAGUAAUGCUCUGCUGGAUUUUCAUGAUUGUUUUUUUUUUUAAUCAAAUAGCGAGAUUUAAACAGCGGUUUUCUACUGUCCCCUUAAUAAGACACCUGUAGUAAAAACAAAAAAAUACCCUUAAGGGGAGUCGCGGGUCUAAAUCAUUUAUAUAGGAUUUCUCUAUAUUUUUCUAUAAAUGAACUUUAUCAUAUAGUUAAUAGAAAAAUAAAAUAAAAAAGUGGGGUCAAUGUCAUUUGCGCUCACAAUCUGCCUUCGAAAGAAGCAUACAUUUUUGUAUAGGUGGUUUUUUCUGUUGAAGUAAUAGGAGAAAUAAAGGUAAUAUCGAAAUAAAAUAAAAAAAUUUAUUACAGAAAUCGCUAAAAUUUUACAAAAAUUUAGUUUAAGUACAGCUUAUAUGAAAAUUAUAUUAAAAAAGAUAGGUCACCGAUGAGUUGAAAAAGAUAUUUCAAUUUUAAAGCCAAAAAAUUGCAUUUUUCCACCAAAGGGAGAUAAUUUGGAACUUUUUCAAUGAUGUAUACAUUUUGAAAGUCAUCUGGGGCCAACACGAAUUGAUUGUUUUGAAUGAUUUGUGUACCAUAUGAUAAAGUAACAACUACAAAAGGAAAUAAAUAAAAUUUGUAAUGAAAAACAAAUGUUUGAUUUUUUUCUGAAAUUUUUAUACCCUCGAGCCUCCUUAAAACAAGGAAUCAUUUGAACCUGGAAUAAUGUUUAAUUCUAGAAAAAUUGAUGAGAAAUUUAUGACGAAAACUAACCCAACUAAAUAGGGUUAACCAUGCAUGCAUGGCUGAGGUUAAUUUUACUUCCACUAUCAUAUCAGUAUGAACUACAUGUAACUAACCCCCUUUAGCCAUGAGCGCAUUCAAAAUUAUUCCAGAUUCAAAUAAUUCCUUGUUUUAAAAUCAUUGUCUAGCUACAAUGUAGAUAUAGCAUUGGUGUCCGUGG